ACAGCAGUAGCCGCGGGAAUACGUAGGGUGCGAGCGUUAAUCGGAAUUACUGGGCGUAAAGCGUGCGCAGGCGGUUGAGUAAGACAGGUGUGAAAUCCCCGGGCUUAACCUGGGAACUGCGCUUGUGACUGCACAGCUAGAGUAUGGCAGAGGGGGGUGGAAUUCCACGUGUAGCAGUGAAAUGCGUAGAGAUGUGGAGGAACACCGAUGGUGAAGGCAGCCCCCUGGGCCAAUACUGACGCUCAUGCACGAAAGCGUGGGGAGCAAACAGGAUUAGAUACCCCUGUAGUCCCUGUCUCUUAUAC
rnacentral:rRNA from 1 species